GAUGAACGCUGACAGAAUGCUUAACACAUGCAAGUCAACUUGAACUUCGGUUUGGGUGGCGGACGGGUGAGUAACGCGUAAAGAACUUGCCUCACAGAUAGGGACAACAUUUGGAAACGAAUGCUAAUACCUGAUAUUAUGAUUAUAUGGCAUCGUAUAAUUAUGAAAGCUAUAUGCGCUGUGAGAGAGCUUUGCGUCCCAUUAGCUAGUUGGAGAGGUAACGGCUCACCAAGGCGAUGAUGGGUAGCCGGCCUGAGAGGGUGAUCGGCCACAAGGGGACUGAGACACGGCCCUUACUCCUACGGGAGGCAGCAGUGGGGAAUAUUGGACAAUGGACCAAGAGUCUGAUCCAGCAAUUCUGUGUGCACGAUGAAGUUUUUCGGAAUGUAAAGUGCUUUCAGUUGGGAAGAAAAAAAUGACGGUACCAACAGAAGAAGAGACGGCUAAAUACGUG
rnacentral:rRNA from 1 species